GCGGGUAUAGUAUAAUGGCUAUUAUGCCACCCUUCCAAGGUGGAGAUACGGGUUCGAUCCCCGUUACCCGCUCCA
rnacentral:tRNA from 1 species